AGCGAACGUUAGCGGCGGGCCUAACACAUGCAAGUCGAACGCGAAAGGUCUUCGGACUGAGUAGAGUGGCGCACGGGUGAGUAACACGUAGGUAAUCUACCCUUUGGCGGGGGAUAACGUUCCGAAAGGAGCGCUAAUACCGCAUAAGACCACGGAGUCUCCGGACGCUGUGGGAAAAGGUGGCCUCUUCUUGAAAGCUACCACCGAAGGAUGAGCCUGCGUCCCAUUAGCUAGUUGGUAAGGUAAUGGCUUACCAAGGCGAAGACGGGUAGCUGGUUUGAGAGAAUGAUCAGCCACACUGGCACUGGAACACGGGCCAGACUCCUACGGGAGGCAGCAGUGAGGAAUAUUGGGCAAUGGGCGAAAGCCUGACCCAGCCACGCCGCGUGAGUGAUGAAGGCCCUCGGGUCGUAAAGCUCUGUGGAGAGGGACGAAAAACCCUGGUUUCAAAUAGGCUCCAGGCUUGACGGUACCUCUUUAGCAAGCACCGGCUAACUCUGUGCCAGCAGCCGCG
rnacentral:rRNA from 1 species